UGGGGAAUAUUGGACAAUGGGCGAAAGCCUGAUCCAGCCAUGCCGCGUGUGUGAAGAAGGUCUUCGGAUUGUAAAGCACUUUAAGUUGGGAGGAAGGGCAUUAACCUAAUACGUUAGUGUUUUGACGUUACCGACAGAAUAAGCACCGGCUAACUCUGUGCCAGCAGCCGCGGUAAUACAGAGGGUGCAAGCGUUAAUCGGAAUUACUGGGCGUAAAGCGCGCGUAGGUGGUUUGUUAAGUUGGAUGUGAAAUCCCCGGGCUCAACCUGGGAACUGCAUUCAAAACUGACUGACUAGAGUAUGGUAGAGGGUGGUGGAAUUUCCUGUGUAGCGGUGAAAUGCGUAGAUAUAGGAAGGAACACCAGUGGCGAAGGCGACCACCUGGACUAAUACUGACACUGAGGUGCGAAAGUGUGGGGAGCAAACA
rnacentral:rRNA from 1 species